rnacentral:rRNA from 1 species
UACGUAGGGUGCAAGCGUUGUCCGGAAUUAUUGGGCGUAAAGAGCUCGUAGGCGGUUCGUCGCGUCGGCUGUGAAAACCCGGAGCUCAACUCCGGGCCUGCAGUCGAUACGGGCGGACUGGAGUUCGGCAGGGGAGACUGGAAUUCCUGGUGUAGCGGUGAAAUGCGCAGAUAUCAGGAGGAACACCGGUGGCGAAGGCGGGUCCCUGGGCCGAUACUGACGCUGAGGAGCGAAAGCGUGGGGAGCGAACAGG